rnacentral:lncRNA from 1 species
CACAGUUGUAUUCCAGUGACCAUGAAGAAAGUGGUAAAGCCAAAAACUGGGAGGAAGGAGAGCUCCUGAGAGGUCAGCGUGGCUGAUCAGGGAAGGCUGACAGCAGGAAGAGGGGAGAUGCUCCUAAGAACAGUUUGAACACACCGAUGCAUAAACAAACCUCCCUUCCGGAAGUAGGAAGAACUCGAGCCACACAAGGUGACAGUGAAAAAGACAAGCAAAU